rnacentral:tRNA from 1 species
GCCCAUAUAGCUCAGGUGGUAGAGCACUUCCUUGGUAAGGAAGAGGUCACCGGUUCAAAUCCGGUUAUGGGCU